UACAGAGGUCCCAAGCGUUGUUCGGAUUCACUGGGCGUAAAGGGUGCGUAGGCGGUCGGGUAAGUCUGAUGUGAAAUCUCACAGCUUAACUGUGAAACUGCAUUGGAUACUAUCCGACUCGAGGAAUGGAGGGGAGACUGGAGUUCUCGGUGUAGCAGUGAAAUGCGUAGAUAUCGAGAGGAACACCAGUGGCGAAGGCGAGUCUCUGGACAUUUCCUGACGCUGAGGCACGAAAGCCAGGGGAGCAAACGGG
rnacentral:rRNA from 1 species